rnacentral:lncRNA from 1 species
GUCAAAGGUCCAACCAAGAUCAGUCUCACUGGACUCAAGUCAAGGCGUGGGAAGGGCCGAUCUCUUCUGCAGCAUCUUAGGGGAGAAUCUAUUGUAUUGUUCAACAUCUGCUUGCCACCUGUUUUCCUUCUCUGUGGCCUCUUCCUCAUCUUCAAAGCGAGUUACUUCAAUCUCUGCAUCACAUCACCUUCUUUCCUCUGUAUGCCUUGAGCCUCUUAUGGGAUCAUGAGGAUUGUGUGCUGGGAUCCCGGCAGACAAAGCUGAGAUUCAGCUGGAUAAAGCAGGUUGUAGCACAGCUGAUGUUUGUUCUCUGUGGAAAUCAGGCUGUUUUCUCCUAAGGUGAGUUCUAGAGCAGUUAUUUCUAGUAUUAGUCCAUUU